AUGUCUGCUGCAUCGGGCUAUGUUGCUGUCCCUCGCUGUCCGGUGAUUUUCGAUGGUACUAACUACACCGAGUUCGCUGGCUUCAUGCGCAUUCACAUGCGUGGCAUCCGUCUCUGGGGUGUUCUUUCUGGCGAGGUCUGCUGUCCGCCACGUCCGGUUCCUCCGGUGGCCCCUACUCCGCCGACUCCACUGGUUCUUCCUGCGGAUGCUAAUCAGGCCGCCAAGGAUGCGGCUAAGAUUGCUGAUGAGGCUGCUGAUCGUGCCUGUGAUGAGAGGGUUUUGGCUUAUGAGGAGGCUCUUCAGACGUAUCAUGGUGCUUUGUCUGUUUACACCCAGUGGCUUGAUGAUGAUGCUCGUGCUGCAGCUGUUCUCACUGCUAGUGUUCUGCCUCAGUUUGCUUCUGAGUUUCUGGGUCUUCCUACUGUCUUCCAGAUGUGGACCUGUCUUCGUCAGUGCUAUGAGCCCUCUGGUGAUGCCUUAUACCUUUCUGUGGUUCGUCAGGAGCAUGCUCUUCAGCAGGGUGACUCUACUGUUGAUGACUUUUAUGCACAGAGUUCUGCUAUCUGGCGCCAGCUUGAUUCUCUCCGCAGUGCUGGUUGUCAUACUUGCCCCUGCUGCCAGGCUGUCCAGGCCAAUUUGGAGUUUCAUCGCGUCUACGAGUUCCUGUCUCGGCUCCGUAAGGAGUUUGAGCCCCGGCGUGCUCAGUUGUUUGCUCGUGGCCGUAUUUCUCUCAUGGAGGCGCUUUCAGAGAUUCGUGCUGAGGAGACUCGCCUACGUGGUGCUGGUUUGCUGGAGGUUCCCUCUGUGCUCGCUACUUGGGCUUCUUCCACUCCACCUGCUGCACCGCCCCAUUCUCGCUCGAGUGCUCUGCCGCUCUUGCCCACUCCUUCUGGAGGCUCAGGUCGCCCCCGUUCACAUUGUGACUACUGCAACAAUGAUGGUCAUAUUGAGUCCCAAUGCUACACAAAGCGGAAACACCUGCGCAAGGCGCGAUCAUCCUCCUCAGGGACUUCGUCAUCUCCCUCGCCAGCUUCAGCCAUUGCUUUGACUGAGCAGGAUAUUCUGAGACUUAAGCGUCUGCUCGCGGCUUCAGGUUCUUCCUCGACGGGUACUGCUGGUUCUGUGACUGAUGCUUCCCGCACUGAGCACCCGCCCUCUACACAGUCAGGUACAUCCCCAUGGGUUCUGGACUCUGGAGCUUCUUUUCAUAUGUCUUCUCAUUCUUCCGCUUUGUCCUCUCUUCGAUCGCUGGAUUCUCCUGUUCAUGUCUUCACUGCUGAUGGUACUCCACUUUCUGUUGCUAGUAGAGGCCAUCUUUCCACUCCUUCUUAUUCUGUUCCUGAUGUUGCUCAUGUUCCUCGACUUACCAUGAAUCUGUUUUCUGCCGGUCAACUUACUGAUUCUGGUUGUCGUGUCAUCCUUGACGUUGACUCUUGUUCUGUUCAGGAUCGUCGCACGCACACUCUGGUUGGGGCUGGCCCUCGCCGCCGUGAUUCUCAGGGUCUUUGGGAGUUGGACUGGCUUCAUGUUCCUUCCGCUGCCACCACCAUCGCCAGUCCCUCCGCUGCUGUCGCCUCUGUUACUGGUUCCUUCAAGCAGUGGCAUCAUCGACUUGGUCAUCUGUGUGGUUCUCGGUUAUCGUCUUUAGUUCGUCGAGGUCUUCUGGGGUCUGUCUCAGGAGAUGUCUCUUUAGAGUGUCAGGGUUGUCGUCUUGGCAAGCAGAUUCAGUUACCAUAUUCACAUAGUGAGUCAGUGUCUAAGCGUCCUUUUGAUUUAGUCCAUUCUGAUGUAUGGGGUCUGGCUCCUUUCGCUUCGAAAGGUGGUCAUAAAUACUAUAUUAUUUUCAUCGAUGAUUUUUCUCGUUACACAUGGCUUUAUUUCAUGACUUCACGUAGUGAGGUGUUGUCUAUUUAUAAGCGUUUUGCUGCCAUGGUUCAUACUCAGUUCUCUUCACCCAUUCGUGUUUUUCGUGCUGACUCCGCUGGUGAGUAUAUCUCUAAGAUGUUGCGUGGUGUCCUUGCUGAGCAGGGUACUCUUGCCCAGUUCUCUUGUCUUGGUGCUCAUGCUCAGAAUGGCGUGUCUGAGCGCAAGCAUCGUCACCUUCUUGAGACGGCUCGUGCUAUGAUGAUCGCCGCCUCUCUUCCGCCUCAUUUUUGGGCCGAGGCUAUCUCCACUUCCGCCUAUCUCAUCAACCUUCAGCCGUCCGCUGCUUUGCAGGGUGGUGUUCCUUUUGAGCGUCUUUUUGAUCGUUCUCCCGAUUAUUCGAUGCUUCGCUUGUUUGGUUGUGUUUGCUAUGUUCUUCUUGCCCCUCGCGAACGCACCAAACUGACCGCUCAGUCUGUUGAGUGUGUCUUCUUAGGCUACAGUGAUGAGCAUAAGGGCUAUCGUUGUUGGGAUCCUAUCGGUCGUCGGAUGCGUAUCUCUCGAGACGUGACUUUUGAUGAGUCUCGUCCUUUCUACCCACGCCCAUCUUCCUCGUUUUUUUCAGUGGAGGAUAUCUCUUUCCUCACUUUUCCUGACUCACCUAUCACCCCGUCGCGCCUGUGCCUAUUCGUUCCACUCCCUCUGCUUCUCCACCCCUCGUCGAUUCGCCGCCACCAUCUUCCCCGGUCUCCUCACCUAGCAUGUCACCGGAUUCUACACCUUCAUCUCCGGUGA
rnacentral:rRNA from 1 species